GUUAGAGAAGGUGAUAUAGAGGUAGUGUUAGAGAAGGUGAUAUAGAGGUAGUGUUAGAGAAGGGGAUAUAGAGGUAGUGUUAGAGAAGGGGAUAUAGAGGUAGUGUUAGAGAAGGUGAUAUAGAGGUAGUGUUAGAGAAGGGGAUAUAGAGGUAGUGUUAGAGAAGGGGAUAUAGAGGUAGUGUUAGAGAAGGUGAUAUAGAGGUAGUGUUAGAGAAGGUGAUAUAGAGGUAGUGUUAGAGAAGGGGAUAUAGAGGUAGUGUUAGAGAAGGGGAUAUAGAGGUAGUGUUAGAGAAGGGGAUAUAGAGUAGUGUUAGAGAAGGGGAUAUAGAGGUAGUGUUAGAGAAGAUGAUAUAGAGGUAGUGUUAGAGAAGGGGAUAUAGAGUAGUGUUAGAGAAGGGGAUAUAGAGGUAGCGGACGAGAGGAAUAAUCUCUGCAAUCUCGUGGGUGUUACUGAGAAAGCGUUUUGUGUUUCCGUGAAUGUUGCGACACGCUUGAAUGUUGCAAUUAGUGGGGAAACAUAGUCACUUUCUUAUUAAACAUUUCGUCACCCAGGUACACAUAUUUGACAAGGCUUUCGUGAGGGCUUUGAGCAUUUCCUUUAUCAAUUUAAUGACCCUAGUGGUAGUUCGACCUUUCUUCCGUGCCAUGAACCUAAAAAAGCACUCCUGAGAACCCGAUUGAUCUUCUUUUUGACCUUUGGAAAUAGUUGAUGUGAGAGGCGGAAGCGUCUUAAAAAACAGCAAUCAUAAACUCGUGAUUUUGUGAGGGUCAUCUUCAUCAACAGUAAUGCGGCUGAUUUGUCUUUUCUGACCCAUUUUCGAAGGCGUGGUGUGUUGGUUUUCUUGAUUUUUUGUAUAUCACUUUUUUUUUACGACUGAGUUUGUAAUGUGUCGACUUAAUUGUGAAAAUCCAACACUUCUUAUUAACUACGUUCCAAAAAUGUCAUAAAAAGUCAAACGAGCAACAUAACUUCAUAAAUACUGAUACGACGUUUGAAAAAUCUGAUGAAAGAGUCAGAGAUCCG